rnacentral:rRNA from 1 species
CUAAGUUUGAUGGCGACCGGCGCACGGGUGAGUAACACGUAUCCAACCUGCCGAUGACUCGGGGAUAGCCUUUCGAAAGAAAGAUUAAUACCCGAUGGCAUAGUUCUUCCGCAUGGUAGAACUAUUAAAGAAUUUCGGUCAUCGAUGGGGAUGCGUUCCAUUAGGUUGUUGGCGGGGUAACGGCCCACCAAGCCUUCGAUGGAUAGGGGUUCUGAGAGGAAGGUCCCCCACAUUGGAACUGAGACACGGUCCAAACUCCUACGGGAGGCAGCAUA